UACAGCCAUAUCACAUUGAAACACCGAUUCCCGUACGAACAUCAAAGGUUAAGCAACGUCGAGCCUGGUCAGUACCUAGAUGGGUAACCCCUUGGGAAUACUAGGUGCUGUAAG